ensembl:antisense Gm11417 predicted gene 11417
UUUGUUUCUCUGAAUUUCAGGGUGGUUGGGAUUAGUCCUGGGUUUUAAUUUCUGUUUGCUAAUGCAAAUGAAUUCUAUACACUCAGGGUAGAAAAUUGAGCCUACCAAGAGAGCAUCUCAAACCUCCUGGGUGGAGGUUGUUUGCAUUCAGGUUUCAUGUAAACAGGUGCCUGAAGCUGCCUGUAGAGAGAGCCCUCUCUAAGCUGCAGGCUGGGGAAGGAUCAGACUGGUCCUAUAAAUUGAAGGCAGAGAAAGAACACCUGACCAUCACCCUACUUGGGAGAGACCAGAGGCCAGUUCUGGAAGUCUACACAUAUGAGAGUUCUGAAGGCAAAUGGCAGCAGAGCCCGAAACUGAAUUUCUAAUAACUUCUCAGGUGAUGGCGAGGUUGCAGAUCCCUGAGGACUUAAGGGAGCACUCUGAGACAAAGACAGAAACUGAAGGACUCUAGAAGGGAAAGGCUUUGCUGAACUGUUACAGCUGCCUGAGUCAGUGGCUGCGGUAGCAAAUGGAGACCAUCACAGAAGACCACAUAUGCACACAGUGCAGAGAUCAGUGGUUGGUGGAGAGCCCAGCCACAAGGGAUACAGCUUUCCUGGGUCUUGCAUUUGUGUCUCAGAAGAUGACUACAGAAAGACUGUCAGAGCCAGACCACCAGGAAACUCACAGUGACAUAGUCGCUUCGAGAAAUGGCUGCAUAAAGAAGACUGGAGCAAUAUCAAUAAGCAUAUUAAUGCAGAAGGGGACAAUUGCACAGUUUCAUCCCUAGACAGAGAACUACAGGUAACUAAGGGCUGAGGGAGAGUUAGCCUCUCCCAGGGACAAGCUUCCUUUUUGGUUGUUCAGUAAGAGUGGGCAAUUAUGAAACCAUAUACACACAAACAACAAAACCAGACUCAGCAGGUUGUACUUAGAUAUUUG